CUGGGCAAUAGGGUCUUGAUAAGCAACAUAAUCUUAUGGAGGUGCUCUCUCUUGGCUACUUCACUCAGGCAAAAUUUAUUGGUGACAAAUUGUCAGAGUGAUCGCUACUCAUUCUCUCUCAAUCACGCGCUAUAGUCCACCCCCUCAAUCUUUGCCUUUUAUCAACGCCACCACCAAGGCUUACAUCAGUGAUACUUCAAAUGAAUGUAGUAGCAACUUAUCAAGUGAACAAGGUGGUGAUUCUACAAAGUUUCAAAAAGUUGAUGUUCAAAGCAAUGGGCAACUCACACCAACAUCUAUGCUCAAGGAAAACAAAAAGACAUAUUUAGUGACUAUUACAAAGCAACAAAGGAAGAA